GCCCGCCUUCCCUCAGCUCCCCCUCCUCCCUCCGCCCGCCGGCCCGCCCGCCCGCCACUCACCAGCGCGGCCGGGCAGCGAGUGGGGGCGGGGCGGAGGGAGGUGGAAAGGAAGAAGCUGUCCGCGCGAUUGCCAGAUCGAGAACAGUCCGGGUCGCCCGCCCCCUGGCAUAUCGAUGCCCCGAGCUUAGCUCUGGGGUAGCGGUCGCUAGAGAAGGUUCAGUGAAUGAUGCUAAAGGGGAUCAGGGUACAUCAAAAUACACCACUUCGUCAUGAGGAUUAUUUUGAGCUGAAGACAAUUGAGAAUCAACAGAUACAGGAAGAGUCCUCUAGAACUUCCCUUAUCUGCCUAAAAGCAGGGCAUGAAUUUCCGUUUGUGAAGCCAUCCACCCCCAUAUCAAGAAGAGGAGACUGAUCCUAUCACCAGAGAUGGAGAGUCAACACCCAGCUGGGUUUGUAUAAACAGACCUUGCUAGAAGAACCCUUAUCUUCCAUCAGUUCCCCCUUAUAUUUCCUAGUCACUUCCCACGAUUUGUCAUUCCUUGAAACCCAAGCUCCCUUUCCUUUGCUAAAAUGGUAUCUAAGCCCCUG
rnacentral:lncRNA from 1 species